AGUAGGCUGCUAGAGAUACAGGUGCCUGUGCAACAAAAAUGCACAGAAGUGUAGUAUGAGUACGAAAACAACGUCUGCCUAAUGAGUAUCAUGUCUAAUCUUGAAGAAGUAGAGACGAGAUGGUCAACUUUGACAGUUACUAGUGGUCCAAUAAUGAUAUAUUAUCAAUGCGAAUAACCAAGGAAUUAUUAAGAAUGACAGUAAAUCCAAGUAAGGCAUGAAUAGGUGAAAGUUCCUUUUUAUAUUAAAACUCUCAGGAUUCACGAUCCAAUAGUUCCCAAUUAUCUCAAGUCGGGGAGAGCAAAUAUCAAUCUCAAAUAAUCUCAAGGAAUGCAAUACAAGCCUGCGCAAAUCAUGUCGAGGUGUACGGCCCAAUCCAACAGAAAUGUAAACUGUGCACUAUCGUGGGUCGAAUUGAUCAAACUAUAGGUGCAUUUAUUACCUCGCUCGCGUAUCGUACAUGCGACGCGAUGAUCAUUAAAUAAAAAGAUGUCCCGCUCGCAAAUCAUACAUGAGACACGGGCACACAUAUACACACGGUCAAAUAGUCGAUUAAGAAUUUAUCGAGAAAUAUUUAUUUCAAUAAAAGUCAAUUUUCCUUUAAUGAUUUAAGAAAAAUAAAGUUUAAUCCUUUUUUAAAUUCAUUUACGGAUUCGAUGUGAUUUAAGCAAUUCAAGCUGUCGAUAAAUUUACAAAUAAUCCAAGUACAACAUGAUUUUGGGUCCUAGACAACCCGGACAAUAGCAUAAUAGUAGCUACGCACGAACUCUUGCCACCUCGUGCGACGUAAACCCUACAAUUGGAGCACAUAACCAAUUAACUCACCUAUGGGGAUAAUUCCCUCUUACAAGGUUAGAAAGGAGACUCACCUCGCUCCGAAGGCUAUAUUCCGAUUCAAGAAGGCGCUCAAACCUCAACAUUCGGAGCCAAACACUCCAAAACUAUUAAAAUAGGGUAAGAACUAGUCAAUACAUGCUCAAAAGUUUAUAUUCUAAUUAUUAAAUCAAUUUCCCAACUUUAAAUGCAAGGUUCCUAAUAUACAUUCCCGGGCCCACGCGCCCGGAUCUCCGAAUUUUUUGAAGAAAAUUGUUACUCAUAACCUAAGGACCAAGAAUAUAUGAUUUUUACUUCGUUCCCUAACAUUUUUUCGUGGUUAAAUCACGUUUUUACCAAAUUCUAGGUUUUUCAUCUAAAACCCUUGAUUUUCCUAUAUUUUCACAUUUAAAUCUACCCAUAAUCUAUGUAUUUAACUCAUAUUGUGUAGAAAAUACUUACCUCAAAGUGCUAGGUGAAGACCCUCUUCCAAAAGCUCGAAGGAUCGCCUAAGAAUAUGAAUAAAACGAGCUAAAUGGUCUAAAUCUCAAAAUUAAUAGCUGGACACAGGCCUCUGAUAAAAGCUACAAAAAUCGCCUAUGAGGAUGAUAAAAAAUGAGCUAAAGGUCUAAAUCUCGAAAUUAAUAGCUGGACAGAGACCUCUAAUGUCGUAUUUGCGAAAUCAGGUUCACAAAUGCGACAAAAACCUUGCAAAUGCGAAGCCUGCUCCCCUCCUGCCAUCGUUGCAUUUGCAACAAGAAGAUCGUAAAUGCGAGCUUCGCAAAUGCGACCCCUAACUGAUUUGGCCCAUUUCACAAAUGCGAUAAGGGUUUCCCAAAUGCGAACCCUUCAAGCCUAACAAAAGCGAUACAACCAUCGCAAAUGUGAAGAAUCCCCUAGCUGCCCAUAUUCGCAAAUUCGAAUGGAAUCUCGCAAAUGGGAUGAUCACAUUUGCGACCAAAACAUCGCAAUCGCGAUCAUACCAGCACCAACAAUCCUAUUUCUUAGCAAAUCACUCCGAAGCUAUCCCGAAUGACACGUGAGCCCUCGGGGCUCCAAAUCAAGCACCCGCGCAAGUCUAAAUAUAUAAUACGGACUUGCUCGAAGUCCCAAAUCACAUCAAGCAAUGCUAGAACCAUGAAUCGUGCCCCAAUCCAAGCUUAAUGAACUUUGAAAUUUCCAAAUUCUACUUUCGAUGUUUAAACCUAUCAAAUCACGUGCGAUUGACUUCAAAUUUUGCAGACAAGUCAUAUUUGACAUUACGGACCUACUCCCACUUCCAGAAUCGAAUCCCAACGCUAAUAUCAAAAAGUCCACUUCCAGUCAAACUUCUCAAAAACCUUCAAAUUUCUAUCUUUAGCCAAGCACACAAGUCAUAUUUGACAUUAUAGACCUACUCCAACUUCCGGAAUCGGAUUCUGACCCCGAUAUCAAAAAUUUCACUCCAGAUCAAACUUCUCAAAACCUUCAAAUUUAUAUCUUUAGCCAAACGAUUCAAAAUUACUUACGGACCUUCGAAUUCACUUCCGAUCGCGCUCCCAACUCCAGAAUCACCAUACGGAGCUGUUCAAACUCGUAAUCCUAAACGAAUAUCGAUAACACUGAAAUGCACUACAAGUCAAACUUAUAAAAUUCCUUCCAUUUCAUAAUAAGCGCCAAAACGAUCUCGGGUUAUCCAAAACCCAAUCCGGGCACACGUCCAUGUUCAAAAUUAUCAUACAAAACUGCUGGAACCUCCAAAUCUUGAUUCGAGAUCGUUUAUUUAAAAAUUCAAUCUUAGUUAAUUCUUUCAACUUAAAGCUUUCAAAAUAUGAAUUUUUUUCCAAAUUAACUCUAAACUUCCCGAAAUUUAGUUCUGACCACGCGUACAAGUCAUAACAUCUGAAAUGAAGCUGCUCAUGGACUGAGACUGCUGAACGACGCGCUAGAGUUCAAAACGAUCGGUUGGGUAGUUACAGAAAAUGUUAUUGCCGAAAUAUGUGUUUGGUAUUGUAUGUCUUAUACUUAAGAAAAAUCGAUAAAUAACCAAAAAAAUUGAAAAACCGACAUAAACUGAAUCGAGAAAGAACUGAAUUAAUUAGUUUGAUUUGAUUCUAAUAUUUUUAAAAUCUGACUUAUUUAGUUUGGUUUCUUUUAGGUAGGCAAAGCAGAUCCAAAAUGAACCAUGAAUACCCCUACAUAUAUAUACACAAUAAAUGGGUGUAAAAUAAUUCACAGUGGUACAGAUUAAGGAAGCAAAGCCCUAAAAUCAACACAAUGAACAAGCUAAAUUGUAGUAAGUAGCUGGGGUUAUAAUACUUGAACAGUAAACACCAAUGAACAAAGUCCAAAUCUUGUCCGUCUCUCUAGAGAAAAGCGUGUGACCCUCGUAUCGUUGCGGGCAUCUCUCCGAAUCAAAAGGGAGCUCUGGAUUCUCAUAAUUCCUCAAAACAAACAGGACUAGUAAUUGAUUUUUGCAAGGAAAAGGACAUCUCUUCAAUCCCCAUUAGCUCCGAUCUGGCUGAAGGACAUUCUUUUCGCUUUCCCCUUUCGUUGUAAGGCCCUUCCCUUUUUGUCAUCUCAAUUAACGCAUACGUGUACUUUUUCAGCUGUAUACAAUGUGGUUUCUCUUUUAUACGGUUUUGCAGAUCUGUUUUAUUCAUUGGUUUAUUUUGUUUAUUAACUUGAUUAUUGACUGUACUCGGAAAAAAUUUGGGAACUUUUCUAUCCUCUCCAUUGAAAAAUAAGGAUUAUGUAAAAUUGAGAUCCGUAUAUUACGUAUGUAAUUGUACGAUUUUUAGUAAUAAAGGAGUUUAAUAUUUGGACUCUCAAGUCGAAAUGCAACUAUUAACAUUGAGGUGCAGUAUUUAGUGAGUUUUGAGAUGUUUACAUUACCUCAAAGUCUUACUGGUUUGGGAUUGAGGUGCACUGACUAGUGAGUUUGUUUGAUGAGUUUGAUGUUUAGAGGCUAUUUAUGUUUCGGGCCUUGUACAAAGCAUAUUGAUGAAAUCGUGUGAUUGCAACAAGCUCUGUUAGUCAGGGAUUAAUAACUUUGUGGAGAUUAAGUAUAUUGGGCUUAAUUAUAAUUAUGGAUCAGGAAGAGGUCUUAGCCUGAUAAGUCUAGAGGUUUGAUACAAUCAACUUAUAAUGUAGUUACGUUGUAUUGAGUGUAAUAUUUUACACAAAUUGUCUAAAGGCAUUAACACUAUCUUUUUUAGAAAGCCUCAAAGUGUUGCCUGCUAUCGUCUAAAACUUUGUUUGCAACAGAUUAUGUGUUUAAAGAAAAGUAUGCAAUCUGUUGAACUAAGCUACAGGGAAGCCCGUUGCACUAAGCUCUCGUUAUGCGCGAGGUUCCGGGAAGGACCGGACCACAAGGGUCUAUUAUACGCAAUCUUAUCGUAUAUUUCUGCUGGAGGUUGUUUCCAUAACUUGAACUCGUGACCUCCUGUUCAGUUGAGCUGUAUUUAUGCAGUUGAGGUUGGUUUGUGCGAAUGAACAGGUUUAUUGAGUGUAUUCUGAAAUAUCAAUACAGAUUGAUAUUGCAUUGACAUCUGGCAAGGAUUGUUGCUCCUUUGAUGAUGAGAAGUGAGAAUAUGAAUGUUGUGGUGCGGAAGAAUUCUGAAUUUCAUAAUCAACUGAUAAUGACAGCUAUAGGAAUUAAACAUAGCUGUUACCUCUGAAAUAUUCUGGAAUUUCUGAAUAACAUGACCUGAUUGCCUUUCUCAUCUUAGAACUAGACAGAGCAAAGUUGGAUUCUUUGCAUGCAGCAUUGACAUUCAUGGUGCCGGAUUACAUCCAUAUGCUACUUCACUACGACACUGUUGCAUUAUCAUUUGCUAGCAUAGUGUUGUUACAUAAUGACCAGUCUAAGGAGACUGUUAUUCUUUGCAUAUUGCGCCAUGUUAUUAAUAUCCUUUUUUUUUAUACAACGGAGUUGUCUAGCAGAUAUAGAGAUGGAUAAUGAAUAUACCAUAUAUGGUAACUCGAUCAUGAACCGAGUUAAUGCAAAUGAAUCUCUUAUGCAUUUAGUUUUAAUUUAAGUGAAAUGAAAGGAAAAAAAAAUAGAGAUCUGCUACUCUGCCUUCUAACCAUGUUGCUACAUUCUCUCGUAUCGCGUAACUGAUUCAUAUGAUUCCAAUCCCCCCCCCUCCCCCCNNNNNNNNNNNNNNNNNNNNNNNNNNNNNNNNNNNNNNNNNNNNNNNNNNNNNNNNNNNNNNNNNNNNNNNNNNNNNNNNNNNNNNNNNNNNNNNNNNNNNNNNNNNNNNNCCCCCCCAAUAUCCAGAAAAUGAUGUCUUUAAUCAAUUUAGUGGAAAGAAAAGGAAGGAUGUGGAAAUGGCUAUUGUUGGCCAUUAUCUUUGCCAAUCAUUUUAUAGUUAUCAUUGUCACUUUGACAUUGUUGGAUUAGUUACUAGUGGUUCUAUUGUUUUCAGUAGUUCAUAUCAUAAUUUCUAGAUAUGUUAUAACCUGGCUUCAUACCUGAAAGCUAGCUAGCAGAUGCCUGAAAGCUAGCUAGCAGAUGCCUGAAAGCUAUAUUAACCCCCUUCUCCCUCCCUCUUUGUCUUGCCCCAAUUGCUGCUGUUAAUGGCUUAGGACCAGUAAAAUAUAGAUUUUCACUUCCAUUUGCUGUCUCCCAGAAUUUAAUGAGUGCUCUGUGCUCUUCGAUAGCACUCAUAUUGCUUUCUACAUUGAAUUUAAGUAGGUGCAGGAAUUGUAUCCGGUUGCAAAAUAUUCGGUGUAUAAGCUAUGGUUCUUGAAGUUAAUAUAUCUUCACCUCAUAGGAGGUCACAGACGCAGACUGCAUUUUCAACUUCAUCAUCAUUAAAAAGACAACAUUCUCAAGGUGAUGAAUUUGGGAGCUGUUCGACUCUACUUCAGCGUCACCGCUUCCUGCUAACUGCACUUGCCCUCCUAGCGUUUCUUUGCACUAUCUAUCUCUACUUUGCAGUCACUUUGGGGGCCGGUGACUCAUGUUCUGCUUUGAAAGGGACUCAAAAAGCAGCAUGCUAUGUGAAGCAUGGAAAAGCAUCGAUGGCCAACGGAAAACUCAAGUUCUUCUAGCACAUUGAUAAAUUUUCUAGCUGAAAUAGCGGUUAGCUGAAUGAUUGCCCCUUUCUUUCCUUGUGAGGGGCACACUAGUAUAGCUCAACGUAACAUUCCUCCUGUAUUCUUUUAGACAUCUGUGCUAUAGUAUGAUUUUUAUAUAUAUCACAUUGCACCAAAUUUGGUCCAGGAAACUAUUUGACAUACGUGAAGCGUUCUCUGUUGCUAAGAAUUAAUCGUGGAUGUUAGGCUCUGCUGUUUGAGUGCCAUUUUCUUGUGGCAUACGGAUGUAAACGACGAUGUGAAUGAACUGGAAAAUAACAUUAUUGAGGUACAAACAUGAAGAUAGCUUGCCAUUCUGAAGGCUUUUAAAAUCCUUAAAAUGGACUAAGGAGCACGUCACCACUCAAUUCCUCCAACUCAGAAUCACGUUUCCACUUGUUCUUUUGUUUUUUCUUGGGAUAACUGCACUUUUGGUCCCUUCGGUUAUUUUGGUAAAUUGUACUUUGAUCAUUGUGAUCAGCAUUGCAUAUCAAGUCUUCUUACACUACUCUCCUUUUAGAUGCUGCUGGCGGUUACAGAAGAUAAAGCAAAUAGGGAUGGCAAUAGAGAGGUGAGAGUGCGGGCGGGGNNNNNNNNNNNNNNNNNNNNNNNNNNNNNNNNNNNNNNNNNNNNNNNNNNNNNNNNNNNNNNNNNNNNNNNNNNNGGGGCGGGGUGGGGCGGGUUAAAAUAAAAGUUCAUUUUUUUGCGGAUGCGGGUUUAAAAUAUUUACGAAGUUACUGCUUUUCAAGUUCCUGUUGUUAUUGUUAUUGAAAUUAUUCUCACUUUUCCUUCAUUUGUAAUGGAUGAAUGCUGAACAAAUAGGAUCUUUACUGAAAUGAAUAAAAUGCUUUAAUUUUUUCUGGCAAGUUGACCUUUUAGUAAAUAGCUUUUGUAAUUUGGGAUGUGUAUCGCAUCCCAGUAUGGAUCUUGAAGCUUAAGAUUCUGAUUCUCAAUGAACCGAAAAGAAUGGCUUUUUUGCUUUACGACAUCCUUCAUCUGUUACUAUUGUAUAUUUCCUCCUCCCUCCCCCUCCCCCNNNNNNNNNNNNNNNNNNNNNNNNNNNNNNNNNNNNNNNNNNNNNNNNNNNNNNNNNNNNNNNNNNNNNNNNNNNNNNNNNNNCUAAAAAUUUUAUUAGUUUAUACAUUUUCAAACUAUAAUCGGUGUCCCACCUUCUUUUUACAUACCUACUCCGAAGGAUACAUGUAUAAGAGAGUUUUUUCAUUUAAAGUGACAUUAUUCGCAAUGAGAUUAUUUAUUUAUUUAGAGUCGCCACUUGGGAUAUGUUUGGCUUUUAGUGUCCCAAGUCACCUGUUUAUCUUGAAUUCCGAAUCGAGGAAAAUUUAGACUCCCUUUUGGAGUUUGGGAACUAGAAAUUUUUUAGUAAGGAAUUAUGUUAACCCGAGGGAAGGUGUUAGGAAUCCUCAGAUUCCGUGGUUCUAGCAGGGUCGCUUAAACUAUCAUAAAUGGCUUAAUAUCUGAUUCUAAAGCAUGUCAUCCAAUAGUGCAAUUUUAAAUUAUUUACCGCUUUUAAUUAGUUAUUUUUAGGAAAGAUUCAACGCCAUCUAAAACACGUCUUGAACUACGUUACAUAAAUGCACCCGCGGUUCACGACACAUUUUAUCUAAUAUUGUUGAGAUUUAGACUUGGGUCACAUAAAUGCGCACCCGUAUUUAGGAAGAUAGAUUUUAACUAACACACCAAGCAGUUACACAUUUUUAAAUUUUGCGAUGGCCAUGAUAUUUGCUAAAUGGCACACCUCGAAUUCUAAGGAUUAAAAUUAAUUAACUGUGGGCCAUGGGUUUUGGGGUAUUAUUCAACAUGGCACAUCUCCAUUUUAUUUUAAAAAAAUUGUAUUCAACUAAAGCAAACUAGUAUGUUCAUAAUUAUUUCCAAAACUAGUUUUCCAUGACCCUCUUUUUGAUUUUUGAUUAAACCAUCAAUGACUUGACUUCGAUUUAACCCCGUCGUCACAUAAUCCAUUAAUAAAAAAAAACUUCUCAUGGCAUAUUAGACUUAACUCACGCCUGUUUACUCCAUAUUUUCAAGUUCAUAAGACAAACUCAACUAAAAUAAGUUAUACAAUUCAUUAAAGCAAAACAAUAAAAUACAACAAUAAAGAUAGGAACCCAAUUGGAUCUACCUAUUUACGACACAAACAAGUGAAUUUGGCAUUUUAAUCUUUCACAGAACAAACAAAAUAAUAUUCACACACAAAACUAAUGGAGAAACCAAUAAAAUGAGUGAUAAGAUAUCAUGCUUUCAAAACAAAAGCAAACAAAAAUAACGCAUAGAAAUAAAAUCGACGAAACAACAGUAAAGAGAAGGGGAAAGACUAGAGGACCUUUAUAGCUAUAAAUUUCCAGCAGGUACAGUGAAGAAGUAGCUCACAAGCAGCAAAAAUUCAAAACCAGUGCUUAGCCAGGACCUCAAACGACAGAACUCUAAUGCGACUUCACUUCGACGUUGGCUUUUGACAAUAUUUUUAGGGGGCUGAUUUUGGGUGGUUUGAAGCUGGUUCAGGGACAGAUGAGAUGGCCCUUCUCCUUCUUGCUCAAGGGGUUGUUCCUUUUUUUUUUUCAUAAAGCACGGCUGAAGAGGAAUUCUUCUGUUGAAGAAGAACGAUGUGGGGAGAAGGGGGUCUCGUGUAUUGGUUUUAAGAAGAAG
rnacentral:lncRNA from 1 species